AACGAACGCUGGUGGUAUGCUUAACACAUGCAAGUCGAACGAACGAACCUGAAGCUUGCUUCAGGCUAGUGAGUGGCAAACGGGUGAGUAACACGUGGGAAUCUACCCGUCAGUACGGAAUAACCCUUGGAAACAAGAGCUAAUACCGUAUAUUCUCUUCGGAGGAAAGAUUUAUCGCUGACGGAUGAGCCCGCGCAAGAUUAGGUAGUUGGUAGGGUAAUGGCCUACCAAGCCGACGAUCUUUAGCUGGUCUGAGAGGAUGAUCAGCCACACUGGGACUGAGACACGGCCCAGACUCCUACGGGAGGCAGCAGUGGGGAAUAUUGGACAAUGGGCGAAAGCCUGAUCCAGCAAUACCACGUGAAUGAUGAAGGCCUUAGGGUUGUAAAGUUCUUUUAGUAGGGAAGAUAAUGACGGUACCUACAGAAAAAGCCCCGGCUAACUCCG
rnacentral:rRNA from 1 species